rnacentral:sRNA from 1 species
UUGAGGAUAAGCAAAGAUCUAAGUCGGGGGGAGUUGAUAUGUUGCGUUUUUGGUGUCUUAGGUCCCUUAGUUUUGAGUCGUUUGUCGUGUCAUAGUCCGUCUUUUGUAUCUAUUCGGUUCUGUCUUGAUUCAUUUGCAGGUUUUAGGUGUUUAAGCGGGACA